rnacentral:misc_RNA from 1 species
AGGCGAGUAACACUGGCUUCAAACUUCUUCGAACAUGAUGUGUCAUCCCCAAAGGAAGCCCUGUAUAUAGUAGAGGAAAGACCUUCUGACACACAUCGAUCUGAGGAGAAACUGCGGCAAGCAGAUACAAUUUCUUCGUAUGAGAAGUUCCUUAGUGUUCCACUGUGUGUUCCACAAGGAGGCAGUGGUAAUGGCCCAGAAGCAAAGAGAGGGCCACUGCCAUUUCCUGCUUUAAAACUACUAACAGUCUUCAGUGCAGAAGCAGGAAGAGGAAGAGGCUGGGGACUUGGAUGGUCCCUUGGUAAACCAGUUCUGCUCUUUGACUCUUCAUGCUCAUCAU